GAUGAAGAACGUAGCGAAAUGCGAUAAGUAAUGUGAAUUGCAGAAUUCAGUGAAUCAUCGAAUCUUUGAACGCACAUUGUGCCCGCCAGUAUUCUGGCGGGCAUGCCUGUUCGAGCGUCAUUUCAACCAUCAAGCCCUGCUUGCGUUGGGGUCCUGCGGCUGCCCGCAGGCCCUGAAAACCAGUGGCGGGCUCGCUAGUCACACCGAGCGCAGUAAUACAUCUCGCUUUGGGCGUGCGGCGGGUUCUUGCCGUUAAACACCCCCUUUUUACCAAGGUUGACCUCGGAUCAGGUAGGAAUACCCGCUGAACUUAAGCAUAUCAAUAAGCGGAGGA
rnacentral:misc_RNA from 1 species